rnacentral:rRNA from 1 species
CCCUUAGAUGUCCUGGGCCGCACGCGCGCUACACUGACAUGUUCAACAAGUUUCUCCUAGUUCGACAGGACUGGGAAAUCUUUGAACGCAUGUCGUGAUAGGGAUAGAUCAUUGCAAUUAUUGAUCUUGAACGAGGAAUUCCUAGUAAACGCGAGUCAUCAGCUCGCAUUGAUUACGUCCCUGCCCUUUGUACACACCGCCCGUCGCACCUACCGAUUGAAUGUUUCGGUGAAGAUUCCGGAUAGGACUGAUUUGAUUUAUUUCAUCUCUGACCUAAAAGCUAUCUAAACCUCAACAUUUAGAGGAAGGUGAAGUCGUAACA